UGCCCNCUGAUAAUUAUUAAAGGGCUGCAGUAAUUUGACUGUACAAAGGUAGCAUAAUCAUUAGUCAUUUAAUUGAUGACUUGUAUGAAAGAUUGGAUGAAAUAUAAACUGUCUUUUUAAUAUAUUAUAGAAUUUAAUUUUUUAAUUAAAAAGUUAAAAUAAAUGAAAAAGACGAGAAGACCCUAUAGAGUUUUAUUGUUAAAUAAAUUAGUUUUAUUUAUAAAUUAAAUAAGUUUAAAUUGGUUUAAUAAUUUUGUUGGGGUGAUAGAAAAAUUAAAGAAACUUUUUUUUUUAAUUAACAUAAAUAAGUGAAUUAUUGAUCCAUAAAUGAUGAUUAAAAGAAAAAAUUACCUUAGGGAUAACAGCGUAAUUUUUUUUUUUAGUUCGUAUAAAAAAAAAAGUUUGCGACCUCGAUGUUGGAUUAAGAUAAAAUUUAAAUGCAGAAGUUUAAUAAUUUUGA
rnacentral:rRNA from 1 species